UUCUGCAGUCUUAAAAAGUGAUUAUAUGGAAGGCAGUUUUAAAAAAUUGAGCAGUAAGCAGGGUCAAGUCUGGUUAGUACUUGGAUGGGAGACCGCCUAGGAAGACCAGGUGCUGUAGGCG
rnacentral:rRNA from 1 species